rnacentral:rRNA from 1 species
CCUACGGGUGGCAGCAGUGGGGAAUAUUGCACAAUGGGGGAAACCCUGAUGCAGCGACGCCGCGUGAGUGAAGAAGGAUUUCGGCAUGUAAAGCUCUAUCAGCAGGGAAGAUAAUGACGGUACCUGACUAAGAAGCCCCGGCUAACUACGUGCCAGCAGCCGCGGUAAUACGUAGGGGGCAAGCGGUAUCCGGAUUUACUGGGUGUAAAGGGUGCGUAGGUGGCAGUGCAAGUCAGAUGGGAAAGCCCGGGGCUCAACACCGGUACUGCAUGUGAAACGGGCCAGCUGGAGUGCAGGAGAGGUAAGCGGAAUUCGUAGUGUAGCGGUGAAAUGCGUAGAUAUUAGGCGGAACACCAGUGGCGAAGGCGGCUUACUGGACUGUAACUGACGUUGAGGCUCGAAAGCGUGGGGAGCAAACAGGAUUAGAUACCCGUGUAGUC